rnacentral:rRNA from 1 species
UACGGGAGGCAGCAGUGGGGAAUUUUGGACAAUGGGCGAAAGCCUGAUCCAGCAAUGCCGCGUGUGUGAAGAAGGCCUUCGGGUUGUAAAGCACUUUUGUCCGGAAAGAAAUCCUUGGCUCUAAUACAGUCGGGGGAUGACGGUACCGGAAGAAUAAGCACCGGCUAACUACGUGCCAGCAGCCGCGGUAAUACGUAGGGUGCGAGCGUUAAUCGGAAUUACUGGGCGUAAAGCGUGCGCAGGCGGUUUGCUAAGACCGAUGUGAAAUCCCCGGGCUCAACCUGGGAACUGCAUUGGUGACUGGCAGGCUAGAGUAUGGCAGAGGGGGGUAGAAUUCCACGUGUAGCAGUGAAAUGCGUAGAGAUGUGGAGGAAUACCGAUGGCGAAGGCAGCCCCCUGGGCCAAUNCUGACGCUCAUGCACGAAAGCGUGGGGGGCAAACAGGAUUAGAUACCCUGGUAGUCCACGCCNUAA